ensembl:lncRNA
GGACAGAGGAGCCUGGCAGACUACAGUCCAUGGGGUUGCAAAGAGUCGGAUAAAAUUCAGUGAUGAAACAACAACUGGUUCAUUACAAAAGGAAUUCUUUGUGUUGCUCGGAAAACAAUACAAAGAUUUCCCAACCAUUUGCUAUAGAAAACAAUACCUGAGAAUUACUGGAAACGGACAAUGUAAGAGAGAACAACGAGGUAUCCCUUGCCCCUAUUUUUCUCCUGGCUAGCCAUGCUGCUACCCGCAAANNNNNNNNNNNNNNNNNNNACUACACUUGCAGAAGUCAGUGUCUUCACCUGAACAGUGAUUAAAACAAUUAACUGGCUAUCAAACUUCUGCAAUGGGUUAGAAAUUUACUAAAGAACUACUUCCUCUAGAAAAAAAAAACUGACCCUUGCAUUUUCUAUCAUCUUUGCAACUACCAUUACAUAAAAACUAUUAAAGAAUUAUAUAUGCACCUGUUCUACCCAAGUAACAAACACUUCUGUUUCAUCCUGGUGAAGUGUGCAUUUAUCUACUCUUAUUAUUAAGAUAAUUUAGGCUUUUAAGCAGAAUAUUCACUUAUCCAUAUUUAUGGAAAACCAGAUUUUCCAUAAAUGUAGGGUAAUUUUACUAAAAGAUGGAAAGUAAACCUGACACGUCAUUAUUAGACCUUUCUUUGUUAGAAAAUGAGUCAUAAACGUGGGAGAUGACAGCUACCAGGGUUCAAGCCUCAAGGUUAAACAAGCUGGCACCAGCAGCUGUAUGGUUAAGAAAGAAAAACCUAAGGUGCUUCUAACCCUAGAAAGCAUCCAGGUGAAAUGACAUCUACAAGACGAAACAUUUUGGUUCAUGUCAUUCCUUUAAAACUCAUGUACCAAUAAGAGUAUCUAUUAAAUAUGGAGGAAGGGAAGGUAAUAUCCAGCAAAACACAAACACAAAAAAUUAAUAUCCAGUUAAUGUCAAUGACAUUAAAAAAUAAAUGCCUUUUGUACUUCAUUUGUUCAAAUUUUAAAUAUUUCAUAUAUUACAUCAGUCUGCCAAGAUAUUCUCGGGGCGGGGGGGGGGUCGAUGAAAAAGUUGGGAUCCCACCAACCACGAAUCUAGAUGAGAAAGGGAUGAAAGGUGAUAGCAAAAGAGAAACAGCUCUCAUUCUGAGCCCAAUGCUCAUGGAAAAGGAAUAAAGUUCAAAGUUUAAAAUUUCCAUUUCUUGGCAAUUUUAGUCAUUCACUAUAAAGACUGCCUAAAUCCUGCAAAAGAAAAUUCUCCACUUAAUCACCCUGAGCAGUCAUAAUCUCCAGCAGGAAAAGAGAAAGAGCUAGAAGGAAACUCAAGAGUGUAUCUUUUCCACCUCGGCCUCAGUGAGACUUAAGGAUCCCUGUUCCAUGACCACAAGAGAUUUCAUUUCUACUUUUUGUGUCAUAUUUCACUGCAGCCCAAACCUCAAAAUCAUUAAUAUCUUAUGCCUUACUUCAUAACUUUCCCACCAUUGUAAAUGCCUUAAUAAUCUUGCCAUCAGGGUGAAAACACAGGCUGCCAAAAAGCUAAGUGCUAAGAGCAGUGACUGAGAGGAAAGGGCCUGUCUUGAAUGUACAACCUCCGGUUUGUGUUUUCUCGUCCAUUAAAACUAAAUGUGGGUACUUUCCUGGUGGUGCAGUGGUUAAGAAUCCAGCUUGCAAUGCAAGGGGCAUGAGUUCAAUCCCUGCU